AGCGAACGCUAGCGGCGGGCUUAACACAUGCAAGUCGAGCGCUUCACUUCGGUGAAGAGCGGCGGACGGGUGAGUAACACGUAGGUUACCUGCCCCUGGGUGAGGGACAACCGAGGGAAACCUCGGCUAAUACCACAUAUGGGUCUACGGAUCAAAGGCUUCGGCCGCCCGGGGAUGGGCCUGCGUCCCAUUAUUUAAUCCUAGUUGGCGGGGUAACGGCCCACCAAGGGUACGAUGGGUAGCUGGUCUGAGAGGAUGAUCAGCCACACUGGAACUGAGACACGGUCCAGACUCCUACGGGAGGCAGCAGUGGGGAAUAUUGCGCAAUGGGCGAAAGCCUGACGCAGCCACGCCGCGUGAGUGAUGAAGGCCCCAGGGUCGUAAAGACUCUGUCGGGGGGA
rnacentral:rRNA from 1 species